GCAGGUAUAGCUCAGUGGUAGAGCAAGGGCAUGCUUAAGAUGCACAAGGUCCUGGGUUCAAUCCCCAGUACCUCCA
rnacentral:tRNA from 1 species